UUCUUGAUUAGUGGCGCACGGGUGAGUAAUGCAUAGAUAAUGUGCCCCUUAGUUCGGGAUAGCCACUGGAAACGGUGAUUAAUACCGGAUACUCCUUCUUGUUAUAAGACAAGUCGGGAAAGUUUUUCGCUAAGGGAUCAGUCUAUGUUCCAUCAGCUUGUUGGUGAGGUAAUGGCUCACCAAGGCUAUGACGGAUAUCUGGUUUGAGAGGAUGAUCAGACACACUGGAACUGAGACACGGUCCAGACUCCUACGGGAGGCAGCAGUGAGGAAUAUUGCACAAUGGAGGAAACUCUGAUGCAGCAACGCCGCGUGGAGGAUGACGCAUUUCGGUGUGUAAACUCCUUUUAUUAGGGAAGAUAAUGACGGUACCUAAUGAAUAAGCACCGGCUAACUCCGUGCCAGCAGCCGCGGUAAUACGGAGGGUGCAAGCGUUACUCGGAAUCACUGGGCGUAAAGGGUGCGUAGGCUGGCUUUUAAGUCAGAUGUGAAAUCCAAUGGCUCAACCAUUGAACUGCAUUUGAAACUGAAAGCCUAGAGUUCAGAAGGGGCAGAUGGAAUUAGUGGUGUAGGGGUAAAAUCCGUAGAUAUCACUAGGAAUAUCAAAAGCGAAGGCGAUCUGCUGGGAUGAUACUGACG
rnacentral:rRNA from 1 species